rnacentral:rRNA from 1 species
UUUAAAUUGAGAGUUUGAUCCUGGCUCAGGAUGAACGCUGGUGGCGUGCCUAAUACAUGCAAGUCGUACGCUAGCCGCUGAAUUGAUCCUUCGGGUGAAGUGAGGCAAUGACUAGAGUGGCGAACUGGUGAGUAACACGUAAGAAACCUGCCCUUUAGUGGGGGAUAACAUUUGGAAACAGAUGCUAAUACCGCGUAACAACAAAUCACACAUGUGAUCUGUUUGAAAGGUCCUUUUGGAUCGCUAGAGGAUGGUCUUGCGGCGUAUUAGCUUGUUGGUAGGGUAGAAGCCUACCAAGGCAAUGAUGCGUAGCCGAGUUGAGAGACUGGCCGGCCACAUUGGGACUGAGACACUGCCCAAACUCCUACGGGAGGCUGCAGUAGGGAAUUUUCCGCAAUGCACGAAAGUGUGACGGAGCGACGCCGCGUGUGUGAUGAAGGCUUUCGGGUCGUAAAGCACUGUUGUAAGGGAAGAAUAACUGAAUUCAGAGAAAGUUUUCAGCUUGACGGUACCUUACCAGAAAGGGAUGGCUAAAUACGUGCCAGCAGCCGCGGUAAUACGUAUGUCCCGAGCGUUAUCCGGAUUUAUUGGGCGUAAAGCGAGCGCAGACGGUUUAUUAAGUCUGAUGUGAAAUCCCGAGGCCCAACCUCGGAACUGCAUUGGAAACUGAUUUACUUGAGUGCGAUAGAGGCAAGUGGAACUCCAUGUGUAGCGGUGAAAUGCGUAGAUAUGUGGAAGAACACCAGUGGCGAAAGCGGCUUGCUAGAUCGUAACUGACGUUGAGGCUCGAAAGUAUGGGUAGCAAACGGGAUUAGAUACCCCGGUAGUCCAUACCGUAAACGAUGGGUGCUAGUUGUUAAGAGGUUUCCGCCUCCUAGUGACGUAGCAAACGCAUUAAGCACCCCGCCUGAGGAGUACGGCCGCAAGGCUAAAACUUAAAGG